rnacentral:rRNA from 2 species
GACUCUCGGCAAUGGAUAUCUCGGCUCUCGCAUCGAUGAAGAGCGCAGCGAAAUGCGAUACGUGGUGCGAAUUGCAGAAUCCCGCGAAC